rnacentral:rRNA from 1 species
AUGGGCCUUCUUGACAACAAACAAGUUGCAAUAAAGAAGCCGAUCAAUGGUAGUGUGAUAGAGAAUGAACAAUUUGCAAAUGAAGUCAUCAUCCAAUCUCAAGUCAUCCACAAGAACAUUGUUAGGCUCGUUGGUUGUUGCCUUGAAGUUGAAUCCCCCAUGCUGGUCUAUGAGUUAUCUCCCAAGGAAGCCUACAUGACAUUCUUCACAGCAACAAUAACAAGGUUGCUCUCAACUUGGAUGCACGUUUAA